rnacentral:tRNA from 1 species
GGGGUUGUGGCUCAGUGAUAGAGCGCUCGCCUGACACGUGCGAGACGCUGGGUUCAAUCCUCAGCGCCA